AGAUAUUUCUCCCUCUUUUCUCUUCCCUCUCACAUCUAGGGUUUCGGUAAAAUCUUCAUCCUCUUUCAAUGGAGGUUUUUCCAUUCUAUUCAAUUCUCAAUAUUUUACAUGGUAUCAGAGAAAAUCUUCCGCAUAUCACUCUUAUCUCCUGAUCUAUUUUCUCUUUGUUCAUAAUGAACAAUCGUGUUGAUUUGUUGCCGGAGAGUUCUCCGAUUGACUAACCUCCGUCGGAAAAGUGUUUGAUCUCCUCUCAGAGUGUCUUAUGUUAUCGCAAAACGACCACUUGUAUUCAGUGCCGUAAGAAGUAAGCUUAUGAUCUCCGAGAUCAUCGUCUCCAGAUGCACAGUGAAACUCCAGUGGCGGAGAGUCCUCGGGGAGGAAGGUCACUACGUGAACGGUGUAUUCGUUCGUCAGAAAGCAAUUGCGGGCCGAUGUUUGGAGAAGAAGAUGUGAUAGUGAGAGUGAUAGAGUCAGGAAGAGGAUACUCAAACUGCUGAUUUGAGACAUUUUGGUGCAUGAGAUGAUAUUUCAAGGGUUUAGGGGCAUAUAUAUGUAGUCAUACAAAUGUUAAUGUGUUGUAACGUCGCUUUCAAUGGAAUUUAAAGGUUAUUUGCAUUAAAUUAA